UACGUAGGGUGCAAGCGUUGUCCGGAAUUAUUGGGCGUAAAGAGCUCGUAGGUGGUUUGUCGCGUUGUCCGUGAAAACUCACAACUCAAUUGUGGGCGUGCGGGCGAUACGGGCAGACUGGAGUACUGCAGGGGAGACUGGAAUUCCUGGUGUAGCGGUGGAAUGCGCAGAUAUCAGGAGGAACACCGGUGGCGAAGGCAGGUCUCUGGGCCAUAACUGACGCUGAGAAGCGAAAGCAUGGGGAGCGAACAGG
rnacentral:rRNA from 1 species